rnacentral:tRNA from 1 species
AUUUAAAAGAAGCUAUUAAGCAUUUUGUUGUUAACAAAAAGUAGAAAAAUAUUUUUCCUUUUAAAAA